rnacentral:rRNA from 1 species
UCAGUUCGGAUUGCAGGCUGCAACUCGCCUGUAUGAAGUCGGAAUUGCUAGUAAUCGCGGAUCAGCAUGCCGCGGUGAAUACGUUCCCGGGCCUUGUACACACCGCCCGUCACACCAUGAGAGCCGGGAACACCCGAAGUCCGUAGUCUAACCGUAAGGAGGACGCGGCCGAAGGUGGGUUUGGUAAUUGGGGUGAAGUCGUAACAAGGUACC